rnacentral:rRNA from 1 species
UGGCUGCAGUAGGGAAUUUUCGGCAAUGGAGGAAACUCUGACCGAGCAACGCCGCGUGAAUGACGAAGUACUUCGGUAUGUAAAGUUCUUUUAUCAAGGAAGAAUGACUCGUGGAAAAACGAGUGUGACGGUACUUGAUGAAUAAGCCCCGGCUAACUAUGUGCCAGCAGCCGCGGUAAUACAUAGGGGGCAAGCGUUAUCCGGAAUUAUUGGGCGUAAAGGGUGCGUAGGCGGUUAUUUAAGUCUUUGGUGUAAGUGCAAGGCUCAACCUUGUGAUGCUAAGGAAACUGGAUAACUUGAGUGUGAUAGAGGUAAGUGGAAUUCCAUGUGUAGCGGUAAAAUGCGUAAAUAUAUGGAGGAACACCAGUGGCGAAGGCGGCUUACUGGGUCACAACUGACGCUGAGGCACGAAAGCGUGGGGAGCAAACAGGAUUAGAUACCCCGGUAGUC